GACAGAGGAGGCAAGCGUUAUCCGGAAUUAUUGGGCGUAAAGCGUUCGUAGGUGGUCUAACAAGUCUGGGGUUAAAGCCCGGAGCCCAACUCCGGAUCGGCCUUGGAAACUGUCAGACUGGAGUAAGGUAGGGGUUGCGGGAAUUCCCGGUGUAGCGGUGAAAUGCGUAGAUAUCGGGAAGAACACCAGCGGCGAAAGCGCGCAACUGGGCCAUUACUGACACUGAGGGACGAAAGCUAGGGGAGCGAAUGGG
rnacentral:rRNA from 1 species